CUUCUCAUCCCUUCAUUUCCAGUCAUCUUCUCCACAAAACUCAUCUUUUCUUCCUAAUCUUCCUCCGUUUGCUUCCUUCAUGGUAGACACCCUCACUAAAGGCUUUGUCUUCUUCACAUAAACAAAGCCCCUUCUUCAUAUCUCCUCCACCUCUCCACAUGAUGUUUCAUUAAAAUAUUUCCUCACUUUACAUGUCCAAAAGGCUUCUUCAUUAUUUUCCUUUGUUUAUUCAUCUUCCUUUGUUUUCUUCCACUGAAACAAAGCUUC
rnacentral:lncRNA from 1 species